UUAAUGGCUAACGGUAACUAAAGAUGACGCCACUUAAUUCAUUGAGAUUGGGUUGUGUGUUUGAUGACAAAAAAAAGCAAAAAUAAUGUUGAGAGUUUUUUGUUUGAAUCUGAGUCAGAUAACAUGAAUGUAGCAUGAAAGUGAAUUGAAUACCAAUCGUUAGUUGUUGCCCAAGUGUCAACCUAAGUCAACACUGUCAAGUCAACUUUUAAUGAUUAUUUUAAUUAUAACAUUUUCCAUGUUAAAAGAUGAAUUGAUUAAUUGUUACAUUUAGCUUUUUUUCCCUCUUUCUUCGUCUUAACGUGAUUUUACACUUGUGCCCCUUAAACGACCAUCUUUGUUUCUUCUUCUCAUCAAUUUUUCGUUAUUUUCAUGUUAAAUUGUUGUAAUUUAAAAUUAACCAUUCGCAUUUUCUAAUUGUUUAAUUAGUUAACAAUCAGUUUACUCGUUUCUCCAACCAAUUUGGCCUUUAAAGUGAAAUAAACUCUACAAUUUUCACAUUUUAUCUACUCUUGAAACAAAAGGACAACCAAAAGGAUUAAUCUUAAAUUUAAUUUUUUUAUUCAAGUGUCUCAUCUCAUCCUUUUUUUGUCAACAUUAAUUGCCAACCAAAGACUUAUUGACUCAAUUCCUACCAUCUUCAGUUAACUCCAAAAAGGAAUCAAGAAUCACCAAAAGCAAACCAAAAGAGGAACCAAAAGAGGAACCCAGCAAAAAAAAGAAGGAGGAAAAGGUUGAAACGUGAAAGAAGAGGAAAGGUUUCGAUAAACAAAAGACGAUCAAAGGAGAGUCAAAAAGCCGUUAAAUUACAGUUUUUACAAUAAAAAUAGGGAAACAAAGUAAAUAAAAAUAUUCAAAGGUGAUUUACUUACCCAAAGCAUCAAUUAAUUGUGGACAAUAACAAUCAUCAACCUUCUGUAGUUGAAUUCCCUCGAUAAAGAUCAUUUCUGUCAUCCAUUAUCACCUCAACUCAUCAUCUUUCAACUCAUUCUCAUUCUUCUCAUCAUCAUUCUCAUCAUCCCAAAGGAUAGUGAGAGUAAGAAUCUUUAUUUAAUCAUUAUCAAGUCCAAUGUAAUAAGUCACCGGAAUAAUAAAUGGGAACAGAAAGAAGGAAAAAAGCACAAAAAAAGCCUCACAACGAAAAAGGAAAAAAAAGCAAAUUCCAAUUCUUACAAUUCUCAACAUUUUCAUUGUUUCUCGAGAAAAAAGAAUAAGAAAAGAGGAGAAAAAAGCGAAAAUAUAAUCGCUUUUGACUUCAAUCAUUUAAUGAGUUAAUAUUGAAUUGUAACGAAAAUUCAUUGGAAUGUUAAACAGUUAUUUACUUUAACUAUUGAUUCGUUUGUCAACUUCACCAGCUUCUUUUAUCCCUCCAAUGGAAACAUUUGAAAUGAGAUUUUUCAAGAUUACUUUAGUCAAAGUUUCAAGCAACUCGGAGUCUUCAAUAUUUGAAACAAGUUAUCUCGCUUUCAUCCAGUAAUCAUAAUUUUUACAAGCAAAAGAAACGUCAAUAUUACAGAGAGAAAUAAUUAUUUCAAGUGAUCAAAUUUUGCUGAACAAAAGAAACGUCGAAAGAAAUAUUCUUCCCUGAGAAACCUUUUUCAUCCUUCCCUGUUAAUCUCAUCAUUUUCAUUGUAACAAUAAUUUUACAGAGGCUUAAUACAAUAUCUAACAUAAUUUAA